rnacentral:rRNA from 1 species
GAUGAACGCUAGCUACAGGCUUAACACAUGCAAGUCGAGGGACCGGCGCACGGGUGCGUAACACGUAUCCAACCUGCCCUUUACUCGGGGAUAGCCUUUCGAAAGAAAGAUUAAUACCCGAUAUAAAGGAUGGGGAUGCGUGACAUUAGGUUGUGGGUGAGGUAACGGCGAACCAAGCCUUCGAUGGAUAGGGGUGCUGAGAGGAAGGUCCUCCACAUUGUAACUGGGACACGGUCCAAACUCUUACGGGAGGCAGCAGUGAUGAAUAUUGGUCGAUGUGUGCUAGCCUGAACCAGCCAAGUAGCGUGAAGAAUGCAGUCUUAUGGGUCGUAAACUUCUUUUAUAUAAGAAUAUGUAUUAUAUGAAUAAGGAUCGGCUAACUCCGUGCUAGCAGCCGCGGUAAUAC